CGGAAACGGACGCUAAUACCGCAUACGUCCUACGGGAGAAAGCAGGGGACCUUCGGGCCUUGCGCUAUCAGAUGAGCCUAGGUCGGAUUAGCUAGUUGGUGGGGUAAUGGCUCACCAAGGCUACGAUCCGUAACUGGUCUGAGAGGAUGAUCAGUCACACUGGAACUGAGACACGGUCCAGACUCCUACGGGAGGCAGCAGUGGGGAAUAUUGGACAAUGGGCGAAAGCCUGAUCCAGCCAUGCCGCGUGUGUGAAGAAGGUCUUCGGAUUGUAAAGCACUUUAAGUUGGGAGGAAGGGUUGUAGAUUAAUACUCUGCAAUUUUGACGUUACCGACAGAAUAAGCACCGGCUAACUCUGUGCCAGCAGCCGCGGUAAUACAGAGGGUGCAAGCGUUAUUCGGAAAUUACUGGGCGUAAAGCGCGCGUAUGUUGAUUUGUUAAGUUGGAUGUGAAUUCCCCCGGGUUC
rnacentral:rRNA from 1 species